rnacentral:rRNA from 1 species
UACAGAGGGUGCAAGCGUUGUUCGGAAUUAUUGGGCGUAAAGGGCGCGUAGGCGGUGUGUCAAGUCAGGCGUGAAAGCCCCGGGCUCAACCUGGGAACCGCGCUUGAGACUGGCACGCUAGAGUUCGGGAGAGGAUGGUGGAAUUCCCAGUGUAGAGGUGAAAUUCGUAGAUAUUGGGAAGAACACCGAUGGCGAAGGCAAUCCCCUGGACCUGUACUGACGCUCAUGCACGAAAGCGUGGGGAGCAAACAGG